rnacentral:rRNA from 1 species
AGAGUUUGAUCCUGGCUCAGAACGAACGCUGGCGGCGUGCUUAACACAUGCAAGUCGAACGCGAAAGUUUUCUUCGGAAAACGAGUAGAGUGGCGCACGGGUGAGUAACGCGUAAAUAAUCUACCCCUGCAUCCGGGAUAACCCACCGAAAGGUGUGCUAAUACCGGAUACGUUCUUUUAACCGCGAGGUUUUAAGAAGAUAGGUGGCCUCUGAUAUAAGCUACUGUGCGGGGAGGAGUUUGCGUACCAUUAGCUAGUUGGUAGGGUAAUGGCCUACCAAGGCAACGAUGGUUAGCGGGUCUGAGAGGAUGAUCCGCCACACUGGAACUGGAACACGGACCAGACUCCUACGGGAGGCAGCAGUGAGGAAUAUUGCGCAAUGGGGGCAACCCUGACGCAGCGACGCCGCGUGGAUGAUGAAGGCCUUCGGGUCGUAAAAUCCUGUCAGAUGGAAAGAAAUGUAUAUGGAUUAAUACUCCUUAUGCUUGACGGUACCAUCAAAGGAAGCACCGGCUAACUCCGUGCCAGCAGCCGCGGUAAUACGGAGGGUGCAAGCGUUGUUCGGAAUUACUGGGCGUAAAGCGCGCGUAGGUGGUCUGUUAUGU